UACGUAGGGGGCUAGCGUUGUCCGGAAUCAUUGGGCGUAAAGCGCGUGUAGGCGGCCCGGUAAGUCCGCUGUGAAAGUCCAGGGCUCAACCCUGGGAUGCCGGUGGAUACUGUCGGGCUCGAGUCCGGAAGAGGCGAGUGGAAUUCCUGGUGUAGCGGUGAAAUGCGCAGAUAUCGGGAGGAACACCUAUGGCGAAGGCAGCUCGCUGGGACGUUACUGACGCUGAGACGCGAAAGCGUGGGGAGCAAACAGG
rnacentral:rRNA from 1 species